rnacentral:lncRNA from 1 species
CACUACGUAGUACCAGCUACCUUCCAUUCCCAAAGACUUCUAAAAACUUAGAAAGUGGGAAGCAGGAAAGAAGGGAGGGAAAAAAAAUGUUCAGACCAGCAGCGUUCUCCAGAGCUUGGGCGGGGAGUGGGAGAGUACUGGAGACUACAGAGGAAUAAUAGUGUCUGGAAAAUUAGGGAGAGCCUUCGGGACCCUUUGUGCAAUAGUCCUCCCUGGGCCUGAAGGAGGACGCGGUCCCUCUGCCAGUGACAUUCUUUGGAACUCCCUUGUUCUGCGGUGUUCACCCUUACUUAUUUUAAUCAAGUUUUCCUGUCUAAAGACGGACGUGUCUGUGAAAAGUGUGCUCAACUCUUCUUCUUAACUAAACAGACCCGCAGAACUGGAACUCUUCUGGGAAGACGGAGAGAUGCGUCACCUUCACGACAUUAGGAAAAUGGCACCAAGACCAUACAUGACCAAGCUGAAUGUGUGUGUUUUAAGAGAGAGAAAUCCAAACCUCACCCCCCGCCCCCCAGCUCAAGCCUUUCAUUUUCAAUAUUUUGGAGAUCUGCUAAGCGGUGGCCCUGGUGGCUGGAGUGGGGGGAAGGAAUCCUUGGGACUCCAAGCCUUACUGCUUCUUCUCAUCCUGGAACUCAGCCUUUCCCAGUUAUAUUUGCUCAUUACAGAAUGCCCUGCACCCCCACCCUCCCGAUCUUCCAACAUCAGGAAGGAUUUCUUUUUCUAGUUUUCCCAAGUCUUUAACUCAUCAUCAUCAUCAUUAUUUUGGGUUUGUUUCUCUGUGGGUCAAGGCAAUACCCUUCGUUGCAUUUUAAAUUAAAUAAAAAUCCCAA